rnacentral:miRNA from 1 species
CUAGAGGACUAAUAUAAUUCUAAC